rnacentral:rRNA from 1 species
GUGAGGAAUUUUCCGCAAUGGGCGAAAGCCUGACGGAGCAAUGCCGCGUGAAGGAUGAAGGCCUAUGGGUUGUAAACUUCUUUUCUUAGUGAAGAAUAUUGACGGUAUCUGAGGAAUAAGCAUCGGCUAACUCUGUGCCAGCAGCCGCGGUAAGACAGAGGAUGCAAGCGUUAUCCGGAAUGAUGGGGCUUAAAGCGUCUGUAGGUGGCUUCAAAAGUCUCCUGUCAAAGAUCAGGGCUUAACCCUGGGCAGGCAGGAAAAACUCUGAGGCUGGAGUUUGGGAGGAGCAGAGGGAAUUCCCGGUGGAGCGGCGAAAUGCGUAGAGAUCGAGAGGAACACCAAAGGCGAAAGCACUCUGCUGGGCCACAACUGACACUGAGAGACGAAAGCGAGGGGAGCAAAAGGGAUUAGAAACCCGGGUAGUCC